rnacentral:rRNA from 1 species
CCUACGGGAGGCAGCAGUGAGGAAUAUUGGUCAAUGGACGAGAGUCUGAACCAGCCAUGUCGCGUGAAGGAUGACUGCCCUAUGGGUUGUAAACUUCUUUUAUAUGGGAAUAAAAUGUUCCACGUGUGGGAUUUUGUAUGUACCAUAUGAAUAAGGAUCGGCUAACUCCGUGCCAGCAGCCGCGGUAAUACGGAGGAUCCGAGCGUUAUCCGGAUUUAUUGGGUUUAAAGGGAGCGUAGGUGGAUUGUUAAGUCAGUUGUGAAAGUUUGCGGCUCAACCGUAAAAUUGCAGUUGAUACUGGCAGUCUUGAGUACAGUAGAGGUGGGCGGAAUGCAUGGUGUAGCGGUGAAAUGCUUAGAGAUCACGAAGAACACCGAUUGCGAAGGCAGCUCACUGGGCUGCAACUGACACUGAGGCUCGAAAGUGUGGGUAUCGAACAGGAUUAGAUACCCCAGUAGUC